CCUACGGGAGGCAGCAGUGGGGAAUAUUGCACAAUGGGGGAAACCCUGAUGCAGCGACGCCGCGUGAAGGAUGAAGUAUUUCGGUAUGUAAACUUCUAUCAGCAGGGAAGAAGAUGACGGUACCUGACUAAGAAGCCCCGGCUAACUACGUGCCAGCAGCCGCGGUAAUACGUAGGGGGCAAGCGUUAUCCGGAUUUACUGGGUGUAAAGGGAGCGUAGACGGCGAUGCAAGCCAGAUGUGAAAGCCCGGGGCUCAACCCCGGGACUGCAUUUGGAACUGCGUGGCUGGAGUGUCGGAGAGGCAGGCGGAAUUCCUAGUGUAGCGGUGAAAUGCGUAGAUAUUAGGAGGAACACCAGUGGCGAAGGCGGCCUGCUGGACGAUGACUGACGUUGAGGCUCGAAAGCGUGGGGAGCAAACAGGAUU
rnacentral:rRNA from 1 species